CCCGACGACUGGCAUUCAUCGUUUACGGGGGGACUACCAGGGUAUCUAAUCCUGUUUGCUCCCCACACUUUCGUACCUCAGCGUCAGUAUCGAGCCAGUGAGCCGCCUUCGCCACUGGUGUUCCUCCAAAUAUCUACGAAUUUCACCUCUACACUUGGAAUUCCACUCACCUCUCUCGAACUCAAGACCAGGAGUUUUGGAGGCAGUCCCGGGGUUGAGCCCCGGGAUUUCACCCCCAACUUUCUGAUCCGCCUACGUACGCUUUACGCCCAGUAAUUCCGAACAACGCUAACCCCCUCCGUAUUACCGCGGCUGCUGGCACGGAGUUAGCCGGGGUUUCUUUACCAGGUACUGUCAUUAUCAUCCCUGGCGAAAGUGCUUUACGAUCCUAAGACCUUCAUCACACACGCGGCAUGGCUAGAUCAGGCUUGCGCCCAUUGUGUAAGAUUCCCCACUGCUGCCUCCCGUAGGAGUCUGGGCCGUGUCUCAGUCCCAGUGUUGCUGAUCAUCCUCUAAAACCAGCUAUAGAUCGUAGACUUGGUAGGCCAUUACCCCACCAACUAUCUAAUCUAACGCGGGCCGAUCCUUCUCCGAUAAAUCUUUCCCCCGAAGGGCGUAUGCGGUAUUACUCACCGUUUCCAGUGGCUAUUCCGCAGAGAAGGGCACGUUCCCACGCGUUACUAACCCGUCCGCCGCCAGACCCGAAGGUCUCGCUCGACUUGCAUGUGUUAGGCCUGCCGCCAGCGUUCGUUUUGAGCCAGGAUCAAACUCU
rnacentral:rRNA from 1 species